rnacentral:rRNA from 1 species
GUAGGGUGCGAGCGUUAAUCGGAAUUACUGGGCGUAAAGCGUGCGCAGGCGGUUUUGUAAGCCAGAUGUGAAAGCCCCGGGCUCAACCUGGGAAUGGCAUUUGGGACUGCAAGGCUUGAGUGCGGCAGAGGAGACUGGAAUUCCUGGUGUAGCAGUGAAAUGCGUAGAUAUCAGGAGGAAUACCGAUGGCGAAGGCAGGUCUCUGGGCUGACACUGACGCUCAUGCACGAAAGCGUGGGGAGCAAACAGGAUUAGAUACCCUGGUAGUCCACGCCCUAAACGAUGUCGACUGGUUGUUGGGGGUUUGACACUCUCAGUAACGAAGCUAACGCGUGAAGUCGACCGCCUGGGGAGUACGGCCGCAAGGUUA